GACAGAGGGUGCAACCGUUGUUCGGAAUUACUGGGCGUAAAGCGCGUGUAGGCGGCUAUGUAAGUCGGGCGUGAAAUCCCACGGCUCAACCGUGGAAGUGCACCCGAAACUGCGUAGCUAGAGUCCUGGAGAGGAAGGUGGAAUGCUUGGUGUAGAGGUGAAAUUCAUAGAUAUCAAGCGGAACACCGGUGGCGAAGGCGGCCUUCUGGACAGUGACUGACGCUGAGACGCGAAAGCGUGGGGAGCAAACAGG
rnacentral:rRNA from 1 species